ACUACGGGUGGCUGCAGUGGGGAAUAUUGCACAAUGGGGGAAACCCUGAUGCAGCAACGCCGCGGGAGUGAUGACGGCCUUCGGAUUGUAAAGCUCUGUCUUCAGGGACGAUAAUGACGGUACCUGAGGAGUAAGCCACGGCUAACUACGUGCCAGCAGCAGCGGUAAUACGUAGGUGGCGAGCGUUGUCCGGAUUUACUGGGCGUAAAGGGAGCGGAGGCGGACUUUUAAGUGAGAUGUGAAAUACUCGGGCUCAACUUGAGUGCUGCAUUUCAAACUGGAAGUCUAGAGUGCAGGAGAGGAGAAUGGAAUUCCUAGUGUAGCGGUGACAUGCGUAGAUAUUAGGAAGAACACCAGUGGCGAAGGCGAUUCUCUGGACUGUAACUGACGCUGAGGCUCGAAAGCGUGGGGAGCAAACAGGAUUAGAUACCCUAGUAGUC
rnacentral:rRNA from 1 species